AAGACCAGAGAUGAUAGAAGUGCAUUGAGUGAUAAGGUAAUUGGCCUACAGAAGAAGUGGAACGAUAUCUGCCGUCUUCAUCAAAGGCAAAUGUUCCCUAAACUCGACAUUUCCCAUACCAGGCACGGGACUGGAUUUGCUUUAGAUCAUGAAAGAAGUGGUGAAGAACCAUCAUCUGUAACUGGAGAAAGAUUUGUAAUUGGCAAUCCUUGCUUAUCUAGAGACUUGCAAAACAAUUUAAACACAAAGCAGGCCAGGCAGAUAUCGGAGACUUCCGAUUCUCAUACCGAUAAUUUCCAAUCCA
rnacentral:misc_RNA from 1 species